rnacentral:rRNA from 1 species
CCUACGGGGGGCAGCAGUGAGGAAUAUUGGUCAAUGGGCGGGAGCCUGAACCAGCCAAGUCGCGUGAGGGAAGACGGUCCUAUGGAUUGUAAACCUCUUUAGUCGGGGAGCAAUGCCGGGCACGCGUGCCCGGAGGGAGAGUACCCGCAGAAUAAGCAUCGGCUACCUCCGUGCCAGCAGCCGCGGUAAUCCGGAGGAUGCGAGCGUUAUCCGGAUUGAUUGGGUUUAAAGGGUGCGUAGGCGGAUUUUUAAGUCAGCGGUAAAAGGCCGGGGCUCAACCCGGGCCGGCCGUUGAAACUGGGGAUCUUGAGUGGGCGAGAGGUAGGCGGAAUGCGUGGUGUAGCGGUGAAAUGCAUAGAUAUCACGCAGAACUCCGAUUGCGAAGGCAGCAUACCGGCGCGCGACUGACGCUGAGGCACGAAAGCGUGGGGAUCGAACAGGAUUAGAUACCCUGGUAGUC